AAACUGCUAAAGUGUCUUCCAAAGUGACCGCACUAUUUUGCAGUACCACCUGCAGUGAAUGAAGGUUCCUGCUGCUCCACAUCCUCACCAGCAUUUCACGCUGUCAGUGUUCUGGAUUUUGGUCAUCCUAAUAGAAAACAACUGGGCAGGAAGCAAGUGGUAAUUGAAGGGGCACACUGCUGCACAAGAGGUUGCUCUGUAAGAGGAGCAGAUUGAGGAGAUCGGAUUUUCAUGUCUUGUGCCUUUCACCGUAUCACAGCACUGGGACACAGAAAAGGAAACUACCAUCUAAAUUCAGCCAUGCCAUCUGACUUGGUAGCAGUGAUGACGUUUGGAGUUUAGAACUUGAAGGUGCAAUGGAGGAAUAGUUUUAACAAAAAAUACUGAAGGC